UACGUAGGGGGCAAGCGUUGUCCGGAAUCAUUGGGCGUAAAGCGCGUGUAGGCGGCUCGGUAAGUCCGCUCUGAAGGUCCAGGGCUCAACCCUGGGAUGCGGGUGGAUACUGCCGGGCUCGAGUCCGGAAGAGGCGAGUGGAAUUCCCGGUGUAGCGGUGAAAUGCGCAGAUAUCGGGAGGAACACCAAUGGCGAAGGCAGCUCGCUGGGACGUGACUGACGCUGAGACGCGAAAGCGUGGGGAGCAAACAGG
rnacentral:rRNA from 1 species